AGGCACGUAGCUCAGUGGGAGAGCGCUUCCUUGACACGGAAGAGGUCGGCGGUUCAAUCCCGCCCGUGCCUA
rfam:Deltaproteobacteria bacterium RBG_16_55_12 RBG_16_scaffold_39443, whole genome shotgun sequence.